AGAUGCAUUACAGGGCAAGUUCUACUUUGGCAGUUUACUAUACUAUGCUAUAUUAUAUAUGCAAUUAUGCAAGCAAAGUGUGCAACCUGCCAAAGAAGAUUUGCCCAGCGAUUCUCCU
rfam:Glycine soja cultivar W05 scaffold1966_10, whole genome shotgun sequence.